rnacentral:rRNA from 1 species
AUUCCUACGGGAGGCAGCAGUGGGGAAUUUUCCGCAAUGGGCGAAAGCUUGACGGAGCAACGCCGCGUGAGGGAGGAAGGUCUUUGGAUUGUAAACCUCUUUUCUCAAGGAAGAAGUUCUGACGGUACUUGAGGAAUCAGCCUCGGCUAACUCCGUGCCAGCAGCCGCGGUAAUAAU